UACGAAGGGGGCUAGCGUUGUUCGGAUUUACUGGGCGUAAAGCGCACGUAGGCGGAUCGUUAAGUCGGGGGGUGAAAUCCUGGAGCUCAACUCCAGAACUGCCUUCGAUACUGGCGAUCUUGAGUCCGGAAGAGGUGAGUGGAACUCCUAGUGUAGAGGUGGAAUUCGUAGAUAUUAGGAAGAACACCAGUGGCGAAGGCGGCUCACUGGUCCGGUACUGACGCUGAGGUGCGAAAGCUAGGGGAGCAAACGGG
rnacentral:rRNA from 1 species